AGAGGGGGCAAGCGUUAUUCGGAAUUAUUGGGCGUAAAGGGCGCGUAGGCGGCCUUGUAAGUCUUGGGUGAAAUCCCUCAGCUCAACUGAGGAACUGCCUCGGAUACUGCAAGGCUUGAGGCCGGGAGAGGGUAGUGGAAUUCCCAGUGUAGCGGUGAAAUGCGUAGAUAUUGGGAGGAACACCGGUGGCGAAGGCGGCUACCUGGACCGGUUCUGACGCUGAGGCGCGAAAGCGUGGGUAGCAAACAGGAUUAGAUACCCUGGUAGUCCACGCUGUAAACGAUGGGUGCUCGGUGUCGCGGGUAUCGACCCCUGCGGUGCCUUAGUUAACACGUUAAGCACCCCGCCUGGGGAGUACGGUCGCAAGGCUG
rnacentral:rRNA from 1 species